rnacentral:tRNA from 1 species
UACCCGGAUAGUUUAGACAAAACAUCGGCCUUGUAAGCCGAAACCGAAGGCUAACCCCCUUCUCCAGGUGC